rnacentral:rRNA from 1 species
AGCUCCAAUAGCAUAUAUUAAAGUUGUUGCGGUUAAAAAGCUCGUAGUCGGAUUUCUGCCGAGGACAACCGGUCCGCCCUCUGGGUGAGCAUCUGGCUUGAUCUGGGCAUCUUCUUGGAGAGCGUAGCUGCACUUGACUGUGUGGUGCGGUAUCCAGGACUUUUACUUUGAGGAAAUUAGAGUGUCCUAAGCAGGCCCAUGCCAUAAAUACAUUAGCAUGGAAUAAUAAGGUAGGACCUACUCUCUAUUUUGUUGGUUUCUAGAGCAGAGGUAAUGGUCAAUGGGGAUAGUUGGGGGUAUUCGUAUUUGACUGUCAGAGGUGAAAUUCUUGGAUUUGUCAAAGACGAACCAAUGCGAAAGCAUUUGCCAGAGAUGUUUUCCUUGAUCAAGAACGAAAGUA